rnacentral:rRNA from 1 species
AUUGAACGCUGGCGGCAUGCUUUACACAUGCAAGUCGAACGAGGUGCUUUUGUAGCAAUACGAGAGUAUCCUAGCGGCGAACGGGUGAGUAACGCGCUGGUGACCUGCCCCAAAGUGUGGGAUAACAGUCCGAAAGGAUUGCUAAUACCGCAUGUGGCCAUCGGGUUUAGAAACCGAUGUCUAAAGCAGCAAUGCGCCUUGGGAGGGACCCGCGUCCCAUCAGCUAGUUGGUGAGGUAACGGCCCACCAAGGCGACGACGGGUAGGGGGCCUGAGAGGGUGGCCCCCCACAAUGGAACUGAAACACGGUCCAUACACCUACGGGUGGCAGCAGUAGGGAAUAUUGCACAAUGGGCGAAAGCCUGAUGCAGCAACGCCGCGUGUGCGAUGAAGGCCUUCGGGUCGUAAAGCACUUUUCUGGGAGAUGAGAAAGGACAGUAUCCCAGGAAUAAGUCUCGGCUAACUACGUGCCAGCAGCCGCCGUAACAC